rnacentral:rRNA from 1 species
AGAGUUUGAUUAUGGCUCAGGAUGAACGCUGGCGGCGUGCCUAAUACAUGCAAGUCGAACGGAGUAUAUAGCAAUAUGUACUUAGUGGCGAACGGGUGAGUAACGCGUUGGUGACCUGCCCCUUAGAGAGGGAUAACAGUCCGAAAGGGCUGCUAAUACCCCAUGACGUUUCGAGGAUUAGAAGCUUGAAACCAAAGGAGAAAUCCGCUAAGGGAGGGGCCUGCGUCCCAUCAGCUAGUUGGUAGGGUAAAGGCCUACCAAGGCAAUGACGGGUAGGGGACCUGAGAGGGUGGCCCCCCACAAUGGAACUGAAACACGGUCCAUACACCUACGGGUGGCAGCAGUAGGGAAUAUUGGUUAAUGGGACCGAAAGCCUGAACCAGCAACGCCGCGUGCACGAUGACGGCCUUCGGGUUGUAAAGUGUCUUUUUGGAGGGAAGAGGAAGGACGGUACCUCCAGAAUAAGUCUCGGCUAACUACGUGCCAGCCGCGGC